rnacentral:lncRNA from 1 species
GUGACGGCUACGGCGAAGGGCUAUGCGUCAGCGCCAUAGCAUACGCCGGCGUUUGACGCAGAAGUAUAAAUCAGCCUUAAGUCAAGAACCAAAUGAAGCACCAGAGUACAGAUUAUGGAGGUAUCUGAAGUUGAACUAACUGGAAGCAGGGAACCAUACUAAUAAAGUUCCUUAAGCAGGUUCCUUGUAAAGAUUAACCCAGGGAAGGAUCGAAAGUGGAGAAGACCAGAUCAAGAAAGACUACAUCAAGAUCUGCGGUCAGUUCAAAGGAUGUUUUGCAUUGGACUGUUUUUUUUGGCUUUGACCCUUGCUUGCCCCUGACCUCACUCUUGGACUGCCCUGUUGGAUUUUCAGUUUAUUUAAUUAAAAAAAAAUUUUUUGGUUCUGGGUAGAUGCUAAUAAAUAUUUAAUUGUAAUUAUUUAAUGUAAAUCAAAGGCGGCAACACCAAGGCUCCAAAAAUACAAAUUUAUUAAAUUAAAAAGGCUGACACAGAGCGUAAAAUGUUUCGAGCCGCCGGCUCUUCAUCAGACAAAUAAUUUUUCGUUGUAAUUUUUUAAAUAAUAUGUUUUUGUUAAAUAUGCGAUUUCUGUGUUUGUUCUGUCUACUCGAACUUGUUUAUCUGGUUUCUGUAAUUAUCAUUUGUUUAUUUGACCCUUGCCUCGCCUCUGAUCUUGUUUUUGGAUUGCCCUUCAUAUAUCUUUUUAAUUAUUGGUUCUAGUUAUAUGGUUAUAAAAUAUUUGUUAAUUUAAUUAAUAUGCAUUAUAUUAAAAAAUACAUAUAAAUAUAUUUUCUGUGUUUUUUUCUGUAUCUAUUUAUCUAAUUUGUAUAUACAUUUGUGUUUGUAUGUUCUUCUUAUUCUGUAUAUCCACUUACCUAAUUUUACCUUUUAUAUAUAUAUAUUUAUUUGCAUUUAAUUUGUGAUUAUUCUGUAUGCAUUUAUUUAUCUAAUUCAUAUAUUUAUAUGUAUUGCAUUGAUCAAUCUGUUGUUGUUUUUUUUGUAUGCAUCUAUUUAUAUAAUUUAUAUAAAUUAUAUAUUUGUAUUUAUCAAUUUAUAUGCUUCCUUUGAAGCAAUUUUUUAAAUAAAGCAAUUUAAAC